rnacentral:misc_RNA from 1 species
CUCACGAUCUUCUGGGCUCCUU